GUCUACGGCCAUACCACCCUGAACGCGCCCGAUCUCGUCUGAUCUCAGAAGCUAAGCAGGGUCGGGCCCGGUUAGUACUUGGAUGGAAGACC
rnacentral:rRNA from 1 species